GCAUUAUCUUUUCAAACCUUUUGGCCUCUUGGAUCUCAAACUUUUCCCCUCCAGAGUCUCUUCACGUGCGUAUCUGAGAGAAACUGUAGGGAUGGUCUGCUCCAAAGAGAAAGUCUUCAGCUGUUUGUGAAAUGUGAACUAUUCUGCCCAGAAUUCUGAAAUUACAAGGUUUUGAUAUUAUCGUCUUGUUCAUGUCUAGUUAUGUUGGUUUGCAGCAUCUGCCCACUAUAGCUAAAGAAGGUGCCUGACUCCUCCCUGUACAAGAGGAAGCUAUUGGUCCAUAAGGCAAGGGCCCCACCCCCACUCCAGUGGACUUGCUUUCAGGUUUUUAAAUCCCUUCUUGACCAUCCUUCCUUGGAGAAUGCUCAAGGUCAGUUCCUGCAGCCAUGGGUAAUAUGCAUGCUUCCUCCAACUCAGGUAGCCCCCCUCUCAUCCAACUUGUUUGUACAUCUUUGAACUCUUCUUGGUUUUAUCUUCUGUCCUAGGAGCCCAUUUUUGGUCUGCUCUCUUCCCACUCUGACUAUAGAGAGAACAACAUGCAAAUGUUUCCCAAGCCUGUUUUGAAUUUCCACCUCUUCCCUGAAUUCUUCUGUAUACUAAACUGCCUUUGGGCUAUCUCUGCUUGGAUGCCCCAAGGUCACCUCAAAUACAGCACAACCAUCUCAGGGCAUUGCACUGGCUCUUUCUGUGCCCUGGAGUGAUCUUCCACUGGACAUCUCAGGCUCUUUCCCUCACAGCCUUCCCUGACCCCCUCUUUAAAGCAGUAGUACCCACCUCCCACUCUGUGUCUGUCCCCCUACACUAGAAUGUAAGUUCUAUCAGAGCGUUUCAUUUUGUUCAAUAUUGUACCUUCGGCAUCUCAGAAUGGUGCUUGGGUAUUGUGGCACUUAAUACAUGUUGGAAGGGAGAGAGAAGAGGCAAAGAAGGAGGAGAAGGGAGGAAAGGAGGAAGGAGAGAAGGACUAAAUAAUGAACAAACCACCUCCUUGUUCCCCUCUCAAGAUCUGGCCUGCCCCAGCCACUCUGCUGCCAUUGCAAAGACCUAAAAUGCAUAUCUGGUCAUGUGGGUCAUAAUUUUAAUCCUUUGAAUCCCUCCUGUACCUACAAACAUUUCACAUGCUCUUGGAUUUACAUUCUUCCCUCAGCAUCCUCACCAGCCUCAUUUCUGACCAGUGUCUCUUACGCAUCUUGUGCUCUACCAGCAUGUUCCAAAUAAAUGGGCCAUGCACACAUGUUCCUGUGGCCAAAGAAAUCUGGGCAGCUCAUUGUACUGUAAAAGACUGAGGCCUAAACAAAAAUUUUGAGAAUUGAUUUGAGCAAAAAUCAAUUCCUAUCGGGCAGUAUGAAUCAGAAGGAGCCAGGGCCAAGAUUUUUUUCUAUAGAAGACAGGGAAGCAAAGCAUGGAAAUUAUUUGAUUGGCUCCAGCUUCAGCAGUUGCACUAUUUGGGACAGCCUAGCCUAACUGUCUGAUUGGUUGGUUUUCUUACCCUUGAGGCAUGUGCCAAGAAUGACUCUGGCAUGGCUACCUUUGCUUAGGUAGAUAAGCAAGGCGUUAGAGCCACCUCAGGGUACUGGCCUUCUUGUUGGUUUUCUUUAAGGAGACUCUUGUCUUCCUUUCCAAGAAUCGUGAAGCACCAGGGCAUAUUAAGAAAAUCACGUCAUUAAUAAACCAAAUCAAGUAAGCAUUUAAAAAGGAAAGCUAUUUAAACUUGUUAGUUCACAUUUCUCAAACUUUUUUGUCCAGGGACCCCUUUUUCUAAGGAACUGCAAUGAACAGGCUCUCAUGGAACACAGUUUGGGAGCAACUGCUCUCUACGACCCCUUCACAGCUCCCUGAACACCCCCAGCUUUCUCUUUCUUCCAAGCUUUACUUUUGUAGCUAUUGCGUUGAGAAGGCUCAUCUCACUUUUGAUGCCUGAAGAAUUCUAUAAUUUCUCUAAGCUCAUCCUACAGAGCUGAAUGCAAGCUUACAUCCUCUCUAAAAAAAAAAUCCCCCUAAGGAGAAUGAAUCAUUCUGUCCUCUGGCUCCCCAUUGUACCCGGUACCCUGCUUUACCACACCACUCACCUUGUUUGUUGUCCCUGCUUAUUCUUCUGAAUCUCCCAUGUGGCCAUGGAUUACUAAGGGUCAGGGGUCAUUGACCUUUACACCCUGCCACCACCUGUUACAGCAUGUGAAACACUGUAAGUGCUUGGAAGUGACAAAGAAAUAGCCCAUUCAAGGGACAUGCCAUUGAAACUUACUUCCAUGGGAUCAGACAUGAGGAUGGGGAAAACCAUGAGGGAUGUAUAAAGAAAUAUUUACUCUGAUUCAAUUACAUGGAAAGUGUUUCACCUUCCUUUGUGGGAAGGAAUAGAGGAAAUAAAAGGCACAGCCCAACAGGAGGUGGUCUGGCUAGGACCUGCCUCCUUCACUCCCCACCCCCAGAUUAAAAUGCACUCGAUGCUCUGAAAGUGACUUAAUGAGUAGUCAGGAAUCAGAGUCAGUAAUUUCCAUUGUUGCCAUUGCCGGACUCUAGUGACAGGAAAUAAACAGCCCAUCGCCAGCCCACAUAAAACACAGAUGCCUCCCAAACCACAAGUUUGCCCUGGAAACCGGUCUUAGCCAUGCCAGCUGCCUGUGUUGUUACUUUCCACCGAUUCUAUCCACAGACAGGGUGACUUUACCAUGGUAGAAAAACACAGCCUAAGGAAGCAAGCAAAAAAUAAACAUAGGAGCUUUUCCAAUUGAAUAAUGAAAAAUGUGAACAUUUAUUUCAAAUUUCACAUAAAAUGGGAAGUCAGGGAGUUUGGGUCAUUCAACCUCAUACCAGCCAGCAUCCAUUGUAAACUGUGAAACAUAGCAAGCGCUCAAAAAUGUGAGAUGAAUAAAUUUCUGGAAAAUAUAUCAGAUUAAAAGAUUUCAAGAGGUACAUAAAGCAAGGCUAGAAACCAGUUAUGUUGCUAAGUUCUCUUAAUGAGAACUAGCCCUGGCUUUUGGUCAAGAAAGGAAAGACUGAGUAGAUUAGUGUUUCUAAAUUUGUUAGUCUUCUAUUGGAUCAGCAGACAAGGCCACGCGGAAGAGGGUGGAGCUUGCUAGACAAAAGUCUCUUGCCAUUCAACUGACUAAUAAGCCACCUUACUGUACAACCAGCCUGAAAGCUAUGUAUUUCUGUGCAAAAGUUACCCCUGCCCUCUUGCUUUGAGCAAUGCCCGUUCUCCAGGGUCUAAGGUAAACAUAAAAAGGCCAAUCAUUUCUAGGUCCUCCAAAGCAACUUAGUCUGCUGUCUAAAGAACUAGAUGGGGGAUAGUGACAGCUCACCAAAUAGUGUU
rnacentral:lncRNA from 1 species